GACGAACGCUGGCGGCGUGCUUAACACAUGCAAGUCGAACGGAAAGGCCCUGCUUUUGUGGGGUGCUCGAGUGGCGAACGGGUGAGUAACACGUGAGUAACCUGCCCUUGACUUUGGGAUAACUUCAGGAAACUGGGGCUAAUACCGGAUAGGAGCUCCUGCUGCAUGGUGGGGGUUGGAAAGUUUCGGCGGUUGGGGAUGGACUCGCGGCUUAUCAGCUUGUUGGUGGGGUAGUGGCUUACCAAGGCUUUGACGGGUAGCCGGCCUGAGAGGGUGACCGGCCACAUUGGGACUGAGAGACGGCCCAGACGCCUACGGGAGGCAGCAGUGGGGAAUAUUGCACAAUGGGCGGAAGCCUGAUGCAGCAACGCCGCGUGCGGGAUGACGGCCUUCGGGUUGUAAACCGCUUUCGCCUGUGACGAAGCGUGAGUGACGGUAAUGGGUAAAGAAGCACCGGCUAACUACG
rnacentral:rRNA from 1 species